rnacentral:rRNA from 1 species
CCUACGGGAGGCUGCAGUCGAGAAUCAUUCACAAUGGGGGAAACCCUGAUGGUGCGACGCCGCGUGGGGGAAUGAAGGUCUUCGGAUUGUAAACCCCUGUCAUGUGGGAGCAAAUUAAAAAGAUAGUACCACAAGAGGAAGAGACGGCUAACUCGGUGCCAGCAGCCGCGGUAAUACAGAGGUCUCAAGCGUUGUUCGGAAUCACUGGGCGUAACGCGUGCGUAGGCUGUUUCGUAAGUCGUGUGUGAAAGGCGCGGGCUCAACCCGCGGACGGCACAUGAUACUGCGAGACUAGAGUAAUGGAGGGGGAACCGGAAUUCUAGGUGUAGCAGUGAAAUGCGUAGAUAUCGAGAGGAACACUCGUGGCGAAGGCGGGUUCCUGGACAUUAACUGACGCUGAGGCACGAAGGCCAGGGGAGCGAAAGGGAUUAGAUACCCGAGUAGUC